rnacentral:misc_RNA from 1 species
UGCGGAGGUCAUUAAUAAAAUGAAUGUUGAGAGGGGUUGUAGCUGGCCUUUUUGGUGCAUGUGCACACCUUGAUCAUCCUCCAACUCUCUCAGCCUUUUUAUACCCGUUGGUCUGGGGAUGAUCCGGACCCCCGGUGUGUACUGAAGUUUAUCACACUGUACAAUGAACUCUCAAACCAUGCUGUCGCGUAUAACCAAUGAAUGAGCGGGGCAG